rfam:Nematostella vectensis strain CH2 x CH6 NEMVEscaffold_330_Cont24018, whole genome shotgun sequence.
GGCUCAGUGGUCUAGUGGUAUGAUUCUCCCUUUGGGUGCGAGAGGCCAUGGUUCGAUUCCCGUCUGAGCCC